AUGACUAAAGAUAAUCUCUUAAAUAGAGGCAUUGUGAAACCUCUAGAGUGCUUGUUUUGCAAUGAACAUGAAACUGUUGAUCAUCUACUUUUCAACUGUGUGGUUGCUAAACAACUCUGGUCAGGUAUCUAUGAUGUCUUCUCUUGUGAAUUAGGCACUACCUACCUGUCAGUUGCUAGAUAUUGGCCGGCACAUAAGAAACACUUGGUCUUGAAUUCAGUAUGUGCCUGUGUGAUGUGGUGCAUUUGGAAGUACAGAAACUCUAUGAUAUUCAGUAAUGUAAUAUGGUCUGAUCUUAAACAAAUUUGGUGGCAGAUUCAUCUAACUCUCAAGAAGUGGAUGAUCCUUUUCAAGGAACCGCAAAUGGAAAGCCUGAAACUCAUCUUGCAGAAGAUAGCGUCGAUACUCACUUCCCCUUCCCUGCUAACUAUGGGGUGA
rnacentral:rRNA from 1 species